rnacentral:rRNA from 1 species
UACGUAGGUGACAAGCGUUGUCCGGAUUUACUGGGCGUAAAGAGCGCGCAGGCGGUCGAUCAAGUCGAGUGUGAAAGCCCCCGGCUCAACUGGGGAGGGUCAUUCGAUACUGAUCGACUCGAAGGCAGGAGAGGGUAGUGGAAUUCCCGGUGUAGUGGUGAAAUGCGUAGAUAUCGGGAGGAACACCGGUGGCGAAGGCGGCGACCUGGGUGGAUACUGACGCUGAGGUGCGAAAGCGUGGGGAGCAAACAGG